CCAAGUGCAGUUCUACCAAAAGUUACUUCUAUCCAAAGGAGUAGUAAUGAAGUUUUCCCAAAGUUGUGGAGUUGGAAGGAGAUGGUACCUAGUAUUGCUGAUAUUGAUAACUGUUUCAUGGACCACAGCUUUGUGCAACCUUUGCUUGUGGUAUUUACCAAUACUUGCGUGCGUCUGAGGUGAAGAAAAGGCCUUCCACAGAUUACAUGGCUUGUGGAGGGAUUGUUUGGUGGAAGAACUGAAAUAACACCUGAUUAGAGGGAGAAGUUCUUGUAGCGGCUCCAGCAUGUGCAGUAACAAGGUCACAGUACCAUUCUUAGCAUGCCCACUCUUGCUGAUGGAAAUUCUAAGCAGUUUUCUACUCAGUAGCAAAAUCCACUCUUGCAAUAGGUUCUGGCAUCGCUGGACAGUGCCAUAAAGAUAGAAUAUUUAUCUUCAAACUUUGAGACUACCGGUGAGCUGCUAUAUUCCUCAAAUGAAAAAGGACGCUCAUGGAGUUUGAUAUAUGUGGCCAUCGUAAACAUGCUAGAGAAGAAGCUGGAGACUCCGAAGAACAAGGAAUCUGGGAAUUUUAUAGUAAGUAAUAUCAUAAUAUCAUAUAAUUUAUUUUAGAAAAUUAUCCGGAAUGGGUAUAAUGAGGAGGAAUGAAUCACUUGGUUAGUGCAUGCAGAUGUUGUGUUCCUUAAUCAAGUAAUCAGUAAUUUU